GUACUGCAGGACAGCCCCAGCCCCUGUUUUAGUCCUAACCCUCAUCUGGAGCUGCACGUCAGCACCAAGGCCGGAUACGACAGUGAAGACUCAGGUCGUGAGCCGUCCAUCUCCUCAGACACUCGCACAGACUCCUCCACAGACAGCAGCGGUCACAGACCCCGCCCCCGCCCGUCGCACCACUCCCCCGGGUCCCACCUCUCCACCGACUCUCAGGCCACUGUGGUGUGUAACUACCAGACUGGGACUACCACGCAGGGACCGGACAUCAGAGGCUCAGCGGUGGAGGGUCCGGCACGGCCUCCCUCUCCUCCUCUGGGCGAGUACAAAGAGACCGCGGUGUACCUGCUGUCGUCACGGAGACCAAACACCUCCUCCUCCUCUUCCUC
ensembl:lncRNA